UUGACCUCAGAUCAGGUAGGAAGACCGCCUGAACUUAAGCAUAUCAAUAAGGCGAGGAACAGAAACCAACUGGGAUUCCCUCAGUAGUGGCGAAUGAACCGGGAAAAGCUCAAGUUUGAAAUCUGACUUCUGUCAGAGUUGUAAGCUGAAGAGGCUUCGACCGAUGUGGCUCGGGCUCAAUUCUCUUGGGAUAGAGAGUCAUGGAGGAUGAGAACCCCGUUCGUGGCCCAGUAGCCUUCAUCCUUGUGUCGUUUCCUCUAAGAGUCGGGUUGUUUGGGAAUGCAGCUCAAAAUGGGUGGUAAAUUUCAUCUAAAGCUAAAUAUUGGCAAGAGACCGAUAGCAAACAAGUAGAGUAAUCGAAAGAUGAAAAGUACUUUGAAAAGAGAGUGAAACAGUGCGUGAAAUUGUUGAAAGGGAACCGUUUGGUAUCAGCCCAUGGCCGUCUCUGAUCACCCAGACUUCUGUCUGGUGCACUCGGAGGUGGUCGGGCCAGCAUCGACUUUGCCCGCCGGAGAAAGGCCCAGGGAACGUGACUCUUAUGGAGUGUUAUAGCCCUGUGUGUCAUGCGGCGUGGUGGGGUCGAGGUCUGCGGUCUCCUAGGAU
rnacentral:rRNA from 1 species